rnacentral:rRNA from 1 species
GGUAUUUUGACCGUGCUAAGGUAGCAUAGUAAUUUGUUUUUUAAUUGAAAACUGGCAUGAAAGGUUGAACUAAUCUAGUUAGUAUAAGCGGCUAUGUAGGAGAUUAAAGUAAAGGUAAGAAUUCUUUUAUUUUCUAGGGGACGAUAAGACCCUAGAAGCUUUAUGUAAAGAUUAACAGUUAAUGAUAUGUGGAAGAUAACAUUUUACUGGGGCGGUAAUAAUAAUUAAACUAUAAGUAAUUUGGCUGAUCCUUAAAAUUAAGAUGAGACGUAAAAGUUACUCUAGGGAUAACAGUGCAAUAUUUUUAAAGAGUCCUUAUCGAUGAAAAUGUUUGCAACCUCGAUGUUGAAUUAAAAUUUCUUCGUGGAGCAGCGAAUACGUAAGAAGGUUUGUUCAACC